AGCGACGUUUGUUUCAGAUAAUAAUUUCCACAAAAACAUUUCUGUGUGUAUACCAGCCCCAGGAUUGCUGUUAGCUGGUAGACACUCACUUGAUACAAAAUAUCCAAGCAAAAAUACAAAAUCUGGGUUACAAGACCAUGAAGUUCUACUGGGUUGAACAAAGGUCUAAGGUUGACGGCGGAAGCGACUCGAGGAAUCUCAAGUACCCAUGGGAAUCCAUUCCCACAGGAACAAGUGACCUGGAUAAAUUUCUAUCUCACAAGGCUGCUAUCCUUGACUCCUAGGUUCUAGGGUUNNN
rnacentral:lncRNA from 1 species